GCCGCUCCGUGACGUCCGCGAGGCGGACCUCCGCCCCUGCUCGUCGGCGCGCGACCUGGGGCCCGGCUGCGAUUGGUGGCCGGGGGAGCGCACGUCAGGCGCGCUAUAAAUGGGAGGGCUUGUGACGCAAGGGCGCCUCGGCGCGCGUAUUGGCCCCCUGGACUGAGGGCCGGUGAGGCUGCGCGCCCUUCUCGGAGCCGCUCGCUGUAGACCGAGUCCGGUUCCCCCGCCGCAGCCGCCGUCACCGCCGCCCGCGAAGCCGCCUACGCCGCCGCCGCCUCCGCCCCGCGACGACCGCCGCCGCCCCUGCCCUGCCGCCGCCGCCGCCUCGGGACCGGCUGUAUGAUUAGGCCACAAUCUUCAAUGAGUAGACAUAUUCCUUUCUGUGGUGUUCUUGGUCACACAUUUAUGGAGUUUCUGAAGGGCAGUGGAGAUUACUGCCAGGCACAGCACGACCUCUAUGCAGAC